GUGAAUUUACUCGCUCAACGAAAUCUCAGGCAAUCUCCAAACUGUUUAUGCAAGGAAUUAACAAGCCUGGGGUUUUCAAGGCGAUUGGCACAGGAUAACAAUUUGCAGGCUUUUCAACUUGUAAAUGGACGUGGUUGAAUAAGAGGAUUGAUCGAUCGACUGAAUAAGAUUUGAGUCGAAUUCGAUUGCUUUUGAGUUAUGGGGCCGACAAGCUUGCCUCCAGGGUUCAGAUUUCAUCCCACAGAUGAGGAGUUGGCUGAUUAUUAUUUGAAAAGAAAAGUUCAUGGCCAGAAGAUCGAACUUGAAGUCAUUCCUGAGGUUGAUCUUUACAAAUGCGAGCCCUGGGAUUUACCUGAGAAAUCUUUCCUCCCAAGUAGUGAUAUGGAAUGGUACUUUUUUAAUUUGAGAGACAAAAAGUAUCCUAACGGUUUACGAACAAAUCGAGCAACAGAAGCAGGUUAUUGGAAGGCUACAGGAAAGGACCGUAAGGUUAGCUCUCAUAUGCAUUACAUAGGAAUGAAAAAGACUCUUGUAUUUUAUACAGGCCGUGCUCCUCAUGGUUCUCGAACAAAUUGGAUCAUGCAUGAAUAUCGUCUUGAUGAAAAAGAAUGUGGAAAUUCAAAUUAUUUACAGGACGCUUAUUCUUUGUGUCGAGUCUUCAAGAGAAGUGGACCAGAGCCCAGAUAUGGCAAACAACAAGAAGAGUCAGUUGAUGAAAUUAGUAAUUUGUAUAACGACAUAUAUACAGUGCCCCAAGAAUUAUCAUCAGUAAAAAUUGAGGACAGCAACCAAACAAAUUCAUUUAUUCCAUCCGAAUCCUCUUCUGAAAUGAUGAGCGACAAUGCAGUUGCAAAUAGAUGGUUACACUUUGGGGCUGAUGAAACAGAGAGCUGCAGCAUUUACCAAUCACCCAAUGAGUCUACAAGCUGCCAGCCCAAUGUUGAGAAGAAAACUAGAUUUGAAUAUGAGCAUUCUGCAGCAGUAACAUCAGAUAUUGAAGGGCUAACUCUCUCCGAGUCGGGGAUGCUGGGUACAUGCUUUGAACAAUUCAAUCCAUCUGAUGCAGAAGAAGAAGACAUGGUAGAACAGAUUUACCGAGAUGCACAACUAUCUCAGAAGAAUAACUAUGCAAACCAACUUGAUGAUUUCCCAUCUGUGAGAGGCUUAGAAAGUUAUGAGAAGAAACCCAAUACGCCACAAGAACAUGAAGUUGGUUUAUUUCCAUUGUUUAUCCAAGAUUUGCAAGAUGAUAAUCUUGUAGAUCUGUUUGACAUGGAGAAACAACCUCUCUUCUUUUAACAAUUUUAGUUUGCACCAGAGUUUAGAUUCAGAGGAUAUUGUAGAGUAGCCUUUAUCGACGUUCUUGUAGAUGACGUUUAAAACCAGCUAGAGAGUAGUGGCAAUGACUUUCUAUCAGGUAACGAAAACCUAGCCAUAUGAAUUUGCAGACCCUAGCGGUGGAAGAAUACACAGCUUAUCAGCAACUUCCAUGCCCAGCUUAACUCUUGAAAAGAAGCCUUCUAAGAUGGACAUAUGUUUCAAUUUGAUGGAAAGUGAUUUGCUGAAGUAGAAAACAGCCAGUCAAUUUUGUUGGAAUAAGUCGUAAUCAGUCCCACACUGCAUGAGAACCGUCAUCUUGCGUAGUCUUGCAUGACAAAAAAAUAUAGUUGAUAUUAGGGUUAUGUAGCUAUUGUAAUGCAUUCUUUAUCUUUAUUUCUGAUCAGAUGUUCAAAUUCUAUGAUGUAAAAAACCUAUAAAAUAAUUAUUUUUUGUGUUUAUAAAUGUAACAAUUUAUGUGUUU